rnacentral:lncRNA from 1 species
AAAAUUUCUUAUUAGAAUAAAUGCUAAAUGGGAUGGAAACUCUUCGGUGAAAAGUGAGUUUACAAUAUGCGGAGGUAACUGAGGACACAGAAAUCAAUUGGUGGGCCUUUGGCCUCGACUGGGUGGAAGAUGUGAACCUGUCUCUCUGGGUCUCAGGAGACUUGAACUCCUCAAGGAUGCAUCUGUUACUUACUCAGAGUUGUUUGCAUGUGGCCUGCGCAAAGGGUAACAAUGGAUCUUCA